GACACGCUGGCGGCGUGGAUUAGGCAUGCAAGUCGAACGGUAUCAUCCUUUCGGGGGUGAGAGAGUGGCGAACUGGUGAGUAACACGUAGGUUAUCUACCCUCAAGACGGGGACAACCCAGGGAAACUUGGGCUAAUACCGGAUGUGAGCAACUUUUAGUUGUUUGAAAGGUGGCGUAAGCUGUCGCUUGGGGAUGAGCCUGCGUCCUAUUAGUUAGUUGGUGAGGUAACGGCUCACCUAGGCAAUGAUAGGUAGGUGGCCUUAACGGGUGGUCGCCCACACUGGGAUUGAGAUACGGCCCAGACUCCUACGGGAGGCAGCAGUCGAGAAUAGUCUACAAUGGUCGGAAGACUGAUAGUGCGACGCCGCGUGAACGAUGAAUCCCUUCGGGGUGUAAAGUUCUUUUAUAUGUGAGCAGUGCUUCUUAUAUUAACAGUAUGGGGAGAGAGAUAUUAGCAUAUGAAUAAGCAACGGCUAACUCCGUG
rnacentral:rRNA from 1 species